rnacentral:misc_RNA from 1 species
CCAAACUUGGUCAUUUAGAGGAAGUAAAAGUCGUAACAAGGUCUCCGUUGGUGAACCAGCGGAGGGAUCAUUACCGAGUUUACAACUCCCAACCCUCUGUGAACCUACCCAUCGUUGCUUCGGCGGGACCGCCCCGGGCCCGCGCGCCCGGAACACGGCGCCCGCCGGAGGCCGCAAACGCUCCGUCUGCAUCGUGGAAUGAUCUGAGUGGCUCUUAAGCACAAUGAGUCAAAACUUUCAACAACGGAUCUCUUGGUUCUGGCAUCGAUGAAGAACGCAGC